rnacentral:rRNA from 1 species
UACGUAGGUGGCAAGCGUUGUCCGGAUUUACUGGGCGUAAAGCGCGCGCAGGUGGCCUGUCAAGUCUAGGGUGAAAUCUCCCGGCUCAACCGGGAGAGGUCUCUGGAUACUGGCAGGCUCGAGGGCAGCAGAGGAGAGCAGAAUUCCCGGUGUAGCGGUGAUAUGCGUAGAUAUCGGGAGGAAUACCAGUGGCGAAGGCGGCUCUCUGGGCUGUCCCUGACGCUGAGGCGCGAAAGCGUGGGGAGCAAACCGG